UACAGAGGGUGCGAGCGUUGUCCGGAAUCACUGGGCGUAAAGGGCGCGUAGGUGGCUGGGUAAGCGUGCGGUGAAAGCCUGGGGCUCAACUCCAGGUCGGCCGUGCGUACUGCCUGGCUUGAGCACGGUAGAGGCCGAUGGAAUUCCGGGUGUAGCGGUGGAAUGCGCAGAUAUCAGGAGGAACACCGGUGGCGAAGGCGGGUCUCUGGGCAGUAACUGACGCUGAGGAGCGAAAGCGUGGGGAGCGAACAGG
rnacentral:rRNA from 1 species